ACAAGCGGUGGAGUAUGUGGUUUAAUUCGAUGCAACGCGAAGAACCUUACCUGGUCUUGACAUCCCGGAGACCCUUAGGAAACUAGGGGGUGGCUUCCAUCUGGAAGAAUCUGGAGACAGGUGCUGCAUGGCUGUCGUCAGCUCGUGUCGUGAGAUGUUGGGUUAAGUCCCGCAACGAGCGCAACCCUUGCCUUUAGUUGCCAGCAGUUCGGCUGGGCACUCUAAAGGGACUGCCGGUGUUAAACCGGAGGAAGGUGGGGAUGACGUCAAGUCCUCAUGGCCUUUAUGACCAGGGCUACACACGUACUACAAUGGCCGAUACAAAGGGCAGCGACACUGCGAGGUGAAGCCAAUCCCGUAAAAUCGGUCUCAGUCCGGAUUGGAGUCUGCAACUCGACUCCAUGAAGUUGGAAUCGCUAGUAAUCGUGGAUCAGCCAAGCUGCGGUGAAUACGUUCCCGGGCCUU
rnacentral:rRNA from 1 species